rnacentral:misc_RNA from 1 species
AAGUCGUAACAAGGUUUCCGUAGGUGAACCUGCGGAAGGAUCAUUACAAGUGAGGGCUACCGAACGUUCGGUAACCAGCGGUUAGGAGUCUUCAUCACCCAUCCCGUCGUUUAUCAUUACUGAUUCGGUUGCUUUGGCGGGCCGUGGUCCUCCACUGACCGGGCUCUGCUCGUGUGCUGCCCGCCAGAGGACCAAACUUACUGAAUGUUAGUGAUGUCUGAGUACAAUAUCUAAUAGUAAAA